CCUACGGUGGACAGCAGUCGAGAAUCAUUCACAAUGGGGGAAACCCUGAUGGUGCGACGCCGCGUGGGGGAAUGAAGGUCUUCGGAUUGUAAACCCCUGUCAUGUGGGAGCAAAUUAAAAAGAUAGUACCACAAGAGGAAGAGACGGCUAACUCUGUGCCAGCAGCCGCGGUAAUACAGAGGUCUCAAGCGUUGUUCGGAAUCACUGGGCGUAAAGCGUGCGUAGGCUGUUUCGUAAGUCGUGUGUGAAAUGCGCGGGCUCAACCCGCGGACGGCACAUGAUACUGCGAGACUAGAGUAAUGGAGGGGGAACCGGAAUUCUCGGUGUAGCAGUGAAAUGCGUAGAUAUCGAGAGGAACACUCGUGGCGAAGGCGGGUUCCUGGACAUUAACUGACGCUGAGGCACGAAGGCCAGGGGAGCGAAAGGGAUUAGAUACCCCGGUAGUC
rnacentral:rRNA from 1 species